GGCUGCUUGCUGUCCCCAGGCUGCUUUGCCUCCCUCUCCUUUCACUUUCUCACUCCCUCAGCCACACCACUGCCUUAAGAGACACAGCAUUCAUUCUUGAGCACACAGACACUAUAGAAGUUUAUCUGCAUGAGAGGUGGGGUGGGGCAGUAUUCAUAGCCCUUUUCUACUUCUGACUUUCAAAGUUUCAAAGUGUGGCUAUGGGCACAUUUGACAUGUGACCUGGGCAGUCAUGCCCAUUCGCAUCAACCUACAACUAAAAUGAGAAGGGCUCUCAGAAGAAACACCCCUUUCCACCUGUUUUUACUGAAUGCCCCAGUGCCAUAAUUAAAACAAAUUACAAACAUAAGAAAUACCUUCGGUGAUGAUCAAAAUCUAUAUCACAAAGUGAAAUGAAGCUCUAAGCCAAUUAAGCUGUGAAUUUGAUCAAUUAGCUAUAUAUAGAUAAAUGAAACAAUUCAGUUCCAGCAAAUUCUCCAUCACUCAUAAGGAUUUAGCAACACUACUCAGCAAAGGAUUUUUGCUCAAAUUGUAGUGUCAUCUCAAUUCUAUGUUCUUCCUGUGUUGACAAGGCUUUCAGGUGUGGAGACCAGGCAGAAUGUGAUGAUUCCAAGGUCUAGCCCCACCUCACUAGCCCUGAGAAAGGCACUGACCUAGUUUCCAUCUAGCGUCUCUCCUGCAGGGCCCCAGAUAGCCCAGGGCUAAAUGGUGAGCAUUUUCAACAUUGCUUAGGGUAAGGUCUGAACCCUCAUGAGGAUCUGUUUAGACCUAUGUAUCCUAGAAGGAUCCAAGGGGUCCUUCCCUGGAUCCCUUGUCCUUUGGUAAAGUGCCCUAAGUUCCCUUCCACCACUGAACCAGAUUUAGAAGGAUAAGGUUAGUGGGCUGAGCAAUCCUUCCCUCAUCCUAUCUUUGGUGUCUGUAUCUACUUCCAAGAAAUUCAGUUUCGUUACAGCUCUGCCUGUAAGUUUGGUUGCAUAUAAAGGAUUCAGUCUCCAGGCGUUUGAGUUACAUGAAGCCCAUCCUAACUGACUGAAUUUUUCUCCUUCACUGAAGCACUGGAAUAAAGAGCUCGGCCAGUGACUUUGCACAUGGUGAUCUGGGUUUGCUACCUAUACACCCAUGGAGGAGCCUAGACCUUCUGAAGCUGAACCAGGGUUAAAAUCUGAAAGUCUCACAAGUUGGUCUCACAAAGCCUCAAUAUAGCAGCCCAUAAAACCAAUGUUUUUCAGAGCUUGGUUUACACACCACUUACAUCGGCAUCACUGUAGGUACCUGUUUAAAAUGUUAUUUCCUGGUGCCCACCGCAUACCCAAAGAACCAGAAUUUGUUGGUG
ensembl:lncRNA